AAACCCAUAUCCAGUGUUGCACAACAUUCUUUUUAAAAGAAACACUUUUAGUUUCUAAGCAGGGCUAAGCCUCAUUAGUUCUCUUUAUAAAACAGGUAUCAAGGAAUAGUAAUCGAAUUCCAAGGAAUGGCAAUCCAUCAAUUGUUUCAUCACUCAACUCCUAUCACCUAAUGCAGCAUAUAAGUGAUAAAAGUUUUAAAACAACAAGGAGGUGGCAAAUGCACCGGGGCUUGCCUGGGAUAAACACUACGUUAGUGUUGUUAAUUGACGACCACUUGGUGAGCAUCUUCCAUUCUGGUGUUGGCUUGAUGCAUCCACAAGAUUAAUCCACCAAUACCAUCUUAUGGUUCGCUCUGAUCCAUGUCCUUCAGCUCGCAUAAUCAUCUAGCGUACCUAUUGGAAAUGCAUAAUGCAUAUAAGCAUGGACAUGAAUAGCAUGAGAUAGAUAUUCUAUACUAAAGAGGGUAAACACUUAAAAAAUUUAUCACAACUCCUAUGAGCACACUAGAUGUGAAGAUAUUACUAUGUACCACAAGCGCAUCUUUUACACUUAAAUAGGCCUAACGCAAGUAUCAAGCACUCAUAACACACUUAUAAACAUAUGACAAUCGAAUCAACUCAAUAAUACUAGAUAUAAAUGUCUACUAACCUUCUUCGCAUUAUUGAUUUCAUUAUAACCACACAAGGUCUAAUUAGCUACUAGUUCCAAUACAUUCAUCAAAGUAUUAAUUCCCAAACUAAUUGGUUUAAAGCACACAUUAAGAAAGAAAAACUCAACCAUGUGCAACAAGACAUUUGGAUAAACAUUUCAAAUGUCAUAAGUCUUCAUCACUCAAGAAUCAAAAAUUGAUUACUCCUACAUAGCCAAACAGGAAUCAAACCAAAUACCCCAUUGCAGAUUUUCUGGACAGCAUUCAGCAGUCAACGGUUUUGCUCAUAACUCACAAGAUAUUCAUCCAAAAUAGUGAAUUAAGACUUUCUAGAAAGCUUAUAAAUCCCCUAUAAUUUUUGUAUUAUCAGCAUAACAUGAUUCGGCAUUUUGAAAGGUCAAUCAGUGCUAAACGUAAAUUUUGUCUAGAUUUGGACAUAAUUCGACUACUCACUUCAAAAAUCCAUAACUGGAUAUUUAGACGUCCAAAACAUGUGAUCCUAGACUUUUUAGAAAGCUAAUAAAAUUGUCUACAACUCAUUUAUAAUCAUCUCCAGUUAAUUCAAUGCGUAGAAAGGUCAGUUAACACAAACAGUCUCUUCUGUCCAGAUUUGGACAGAUUCAGACUUCAUAUUUCAAACAGCCAUAACUUGACUUCUAGACCACCAAAAAGGGUGCUCCAAAAUUUGUUGGAAAGCUUAAGAAAAGUACUACAAUUCUCCUAUAAUUACUAAGAGCUGAUUCUCAAUUUAACUUAGCCAAACAAUCCAAUUUCCGGAACCUGUACAGAAUUUAGACAGAUUCUAAAACUGGACCUGGAAAAAUCAUAACUCUCAAACUACUAGACCUAUGACCAUGAUAUUUUUAUACCAGUAAGAUGAAGAAGUUAUCUACAUCUUUUAUAUAUAACACAUUCACAGAAAACUUGGUUUACUUUACUAAACUAACUGCUUACGUAAAACUGGUAAUGCAGCAUUAAACAGCAAGCAUCACACAUGUUCUUAAAACUUAGAAUUCUCUAGUACUUUAUUAUAAAUUAAAGCUAAGAUCACCUACUUAAUUACACUAUACAUAUACAUAUUCACCCAAGUAUAUUCCACAUAAUAUAUCAUCACAAAAAGAACUCGUCUUAAUCAUACUACACAUAUACCUAAAGAAUUUACUCUCCUUUGACAUGUUCAUUCACCAACUAUCACACAUGUGGACAACAAUGAAUCUGAAAGUCGACACACCAUAUGCUUGCGCUACAAACAAGAAAAUCAUCGACCACAACUCUAAUCAAUACAACGAUCAAAUUAACUAAAUAGAGUAGCGAAUAGGCUCACCAAUUCACAAACCGACCCGAAGAUCCGCGAGAAAGGCGAGGUUCCCGGUUCGGACCUUCCAUCGAACACUUGGCAAACGUCGCACGGACCUCACUUCUUUACCGGUUAACUCCCUCAUCAACACACACAAUUCACACAUUAGUAAUCGACGUCGAGCACUAAAGCGACAGGGCAAGAACAGAACCUCACCGGGGGUCGACGGUGUCGCAGGUGGGGCUACACACAACACAAAACUCCUCAUGGUCAUUUCGUCGAGCACCAGAGAGAUGGUGCAAACACCAGUAGAAAGGGGCUGGAUGAGCACCAUGUGCCAUAGGAGAGGCUGAGUGCUUGCAGCAGCAGGGCCGAAGGGGAAGCUGUGGCUGGGGCAGGGGCGAGGUCGGUCACCAAGGAGAUGGCUGGGGCAGCGACGGCUAUGGAACCUAGCAGGGGCAUCGAGUAAAGGGGCUGGCAUCCAGGGCACCAUGGAAAAACUCGGCUAGGGCUUGAGGGAGGAGGGCAGAGAGCUGCUGGCGAGCUGGACUGAGGGCAGGCGCUAAAACUUGUGCUCGCAGAGGUGAUGAGGGAUGGAGAUAAGGCCGACAGGCAACAUGGAGACGUGCGUCCAGCUCUUGAAAAGAUAAUGCCGACAACGGAUAAACUAGAAGCUAGAAACGAUGGGAUAAGUCUAGAGGAAGAUAAGGACGUGUGGGAGUAAGACAUGCCGCUUCAGGGAUUUUGGCCACGUAAUAGUAAUGCUGGCGGUGGAUGAAAUUUCCAAGGAAAUCAAGGAACAUACGAGAGACACUUUCUGGGAGCCAUUGUUUAUGUAGGAUGAGGAUUAGUUGAAGAUGGACACUUAGAGGUAAGAAAAUUCAGAUUUUCCUUCUCCAAUCUUUAACCAAUAGAAUACCCCAAAUAAGUGAAAAUCUGGGAUUUGAAUCCGAGCGAGAUGCAAACAGACCCAUCAAAACAAAAUCAAUUUUAAUGUUUUUAGACUACACUAACACUGGUAGGUAUUUUUGGGAUCAGACAAAUUUCCACAGUUGUAGACAGUGGAACAGAUUAAUUACGAAUACUCAGUUCGGUUUUAAUUAUCGUGGUCCAAUUAAAUCUCGCAUCAACGCCCUUGUCGCCGAGCUUCUAAUAAAAUUUACUCGGGUAAAAAAUCACAAGAGUGGGUCGAGAUUCCAAAUUAAUGUUUCCUUUAUCAAUAAAUUUUUAAACAGACACAAGACUCGACAUUUCGAAAAUAAAUACGCGAGAUCGAUAUGGCAUCGAACUUGUGAUCCUUUCAAAAGCGACGACACACAUCGUUUACGUGGGCGAGAGGUUGUGCGCUGUCCAGACACCGGUUAAUGCUCGCCACACGUCACAAUGCCAGACCGCAGAGGGACGCGCACGACGCAGGCGCGAGAGAAUUAAAAAAAUGGAUUCUACAGAACCAGAUCCGAUUUCAAAGGUUAGAGUUUGGGCAAGACGUCGAUGGCUCAACCCAAACGAUAUUGGAUCUGAUGUUUCGGAAGAUUACUAAAGUCUGAAUUUUUGCAAACUAAAUUAGGACAAUUUAAACAUAUGGAGACAAACACGAUAUCAAAAUCGUGAUAGACAAAGAUGAUUAAAAAUUUAGUGACAUUUACAUUCACCGCUAUCAUGUGUUAACGUCCGCACUCGUGGUCAAGAAGACGACAAACACCUGGGGUGUUACAGCCUUCCCCCCUUAAAAGAAUCUCGUCCCGAGAUUCAGAACGAAAGACUUCUAAGAGUAGAGAGGCAUAUAACCCUAUCCAUAAUAGUGAUAGCAUAAGCUAAUUCCAAGCAAAGACGAUUAUCUCAAGAUCUCAAGUGAGUGUAGCAUGUAUCAUCUUUAUGCUAAUUAGAGAUGCCAACAAUAGAGACGAUGAUUGGCAGAAGAACACCUAAGGUUCCAUGUGUGCAGUUUGCUUUUCCUGAUAACACUGUAAUAUCUGAGUCUGGUGGGCGAGCGGUAGAUAUACGACUUUACCCAAACAGAACCAGAUGCAACCUCUUGGGUAAAUCACACAGAAAGAGGUUUACCAACAAGUGGUCACAGUAAGUUCAUAGCACACUAGACGGGUGUGAAUGUCGAAUAACAUCACAGUUAACUCGUGUUAGCCAGAAAAUCCAAGUCCAAUGAUGCUAAUGGAGACUCAAGGAAACAUCAGUGAAGAUUAUCAACAACUGUUGGCUUCACAAUCAAUCCACUUUUUUGAGCACUAAGCAUGACUCGACCUGAUCACAUAUGCUGGAAAAGCACACGUGAGUCGAUCAAGGCACGACUAGAGCGAUAAUUAGGUGACUAUCAGUCGAUUUUAACUUGAUCUUUGUAAGAACUUUCUUAGGAUGGGUUGAACCAAAGUGAGUUUAGCCAACUCGACAAAACGAUCUCUAAACUCAACCUUUGUUCAUAGGGCAGUUACAAGUUAGUAAAACCAACUUGUUGAACUACUUUUGAUAUUGAGCAGGUCCUCUCAGUACCACCGGUAAGCCAAGGGUUGAGAGUUCACUCUUAUUAACAGUUGAUCAUGCAUUUGGGCAGGAAUCCAUUUGGUCGGUUGUUCAUCCGUUUCUUCUAUACAAGAUGAACCGACUUGGUUAGGGAAUACAUGGAUUGAAUAAAAGAGCGAAUGAACAAACUCCUGCAUUUCAGUGGCAGGGGAAGCAGAUCUCCAUUUUGAGAGCUAAUCAGUUGUUUUCCAACACUAAAAAGCUCCAAGGCUUCACCUUUACACAAAGGACGUAAAGGGAACUUGUAUGAGUAGUCACUACCAAGAUCAAAAGGAAAGAGACCACACAUGAAAGUGGUAUGCUCUUUUUAUCCAACAGAGAUGAUAGAUGUUGCUUGAUCAUUUGACAAACAACAUAGAAAUUGUUUCAAGGGAGGAGUCCACGGAAGAUCACACAUCAGUGUAGUUCCACAAUGGAUCAUGACCAGAGACCUUGAUACCAGCAUCCGACGAGUAGCACAAUCCUGUGUGCGCAUUCAUAGGAGGCUCUCAAUUUCGCUGCGGCACCAUGAGUCCUUAAUCGUGUCACCAUUACCGAACAAGGGUAUGGUUUAGGAUGAACAUAUGACCAUAAGAGAGCUACAAGUGGAUUGUCAAGAUUACAGACUUGAGAUCCUUGUUUUUAAGUUUGAGUGCAUCUUAGGUCCAAUAAGGGAAUUACCUAAACAUCUAUUUGUAUUUGCAUGAGUUUGGCCAUGGAGUAGGAAUCGAUAAUUCAAACUCAUGCAUAUUUUGAAGAUUUAUAGGGACUUUGAAGAAAUGACAAAAUUAUGAAUUAGAUCUCAUACAAUUUCAAAUAUUGAGAUGAUGAGGACAUGACUUGAUCUAAUUGCUAGAACUCCAAAGACCUCGUGAAGAAAAUGAUCUUCACACAAGAUGACACCUAGGAUAAGUUGUCAAGAAAUUAAUACACGUUUAGAUCAAGUUUACUAAACAAGGACAUAGCUUAGCUUUGGGUUUACGCAAACAAACUAUCAACAUUCUACCGGCACACAGGCACAAAAAUAAACAUAAGUUGCACUAUCGGUCAAACUAAGAAGAACCACAGACCACAUAAACACAUGUCUAAAGGACACAUCAAACAAAGCUAGAAAUUGCUUAUAGGACAGUAAUGCUUCACACAUUUUCCAAUUAUUUAUUAUCGAAAUAAAGAUGAGGGAAGCACGUUCGUUCACAAUCACCAAUUAUCAGAAUAAGGGUGAGAAAAGUAUAUUUGUGCACAAACAACAAACACAAUGCAAUAAUCAGGAUGCAUGAUCGUCUUAUUCGUCCUCACGAAUUUUGCCAACAUAAUGUGGCAAUAGCGUUCUAUAUCGGUGGCAUAUCUACGUUCUCUCUCGGUAUAUUGCUAGUCGUCAGCUACACAUACGUUUCGAAGUUAGUGUACCUGCAGAAAAUUCCAUCACAGCCCAUUUCCCAAUGAUGCAAUUCACACAUGACAGUUUAUCUCAGUAUAUACUCCAUAUAUUUCUAUAUGGAGGCCAGCUCUUCAUUAAGCGCCGAGCCACGCAUAGGCGCCGCUGCCACACUUUAACCAUAGGGCAGCUCAUUAUGGUAACUCACCUUUUUACCUAAGCGUAGGUGCGUCGUUGCGAGUACAUUACACUUCUCAGUAUUCCCAUGUCUGCAUACCCAUACACAUCCAUGGGGUACUGAAUCCCAGAAAAUUAAAUACUCCACAUCGCAGCCUUCAUAUAUACAUAUGUAAAAUAUGUAUAUAAUCAAGCGUUGUUUAUGCUCUCCCCUAGACCGACGUUUGUCCGGUCACGCUCUCACAUCUCACCUUACUGAAUGGCCUCAAAAACAACAUUACACAUGUAUGCAUCACCCUUCCCAGGUUGUGUGUUAGUAUUCUGAACUAAGCCACCUAGUAGUCCUUAACUUAGGGCUUAUAGAGGAUGUCACUAGCAUUAUAGUUUUUCAAAUCUGUUUUUCAAAACCAAACAAUGUGUUUAGUUGAAAAUAGGUUUUCUAAACCCAAAACUUUUGUUUUGAAAAUACGUAUGUGACCGUAUAUACUUAAUCCUGCUCCGAUACCAGCUGUCGCAGAACCUCCUAAGUUAUAGGGCCCACAUGCACCUGUCCUUGUCUUAAAGACCUCAGACGGAUAUGCAUGUGUACCAAACAACUUAACAGGAUCUGUCCGAGUGUCCCAAGGACCCCGGAUAAACGACUUACCGCCAAGAUCGCAAGAUUAAGUAAACACAAAUCACACACCAACAUUUGCAGCGGAAAUAAAUUCUUUAUUACAAAAUGAUUACGGGCAUGUUUGGUUCGUUACCUCAAUUGCCACACUUUGCCUAACUUUUCUGCCUAAGGUUAGUUAUUCAAUUCGAACGACUAACCUUAGGCAAAGUUGGCACAUUUAGCUACAAACCAAACAUGCCCUACAUGUUACAAUAAGUUUACAUUAUACAAUUAUCGGAGUGAUUACAAAAGAAAAUGAUUAAAAAGAAUUACAAUUUGAAUGUAUAAAACAUUUAUAAGUUUUAAAAUACAUGCUAGCUUAAGUGACAGUCCUCAAUAAAGAAGCUAAAGAUGUGAUAUACUUAUAUAAGAAGGCCGAGCCCACCGGCACUUAGCACCAUCCACAACAGAACAAACUUAUAAUCCUGAAAAACAACAGGGAAUAAAACCCUGAGUAUGCAAUUACUCAGCAAGACUUACCCGACUAAAGAAAAGACUCUCAAGGGUAUGCUGGUUUGUUGGGAAUCAAGGUAAAGCUCAUCAAAUUUCAAAGACUCAUUUUUGCAGAAAAGCUUACUAGUAGUGGAUCCUUAUGCCAAACUUUUACUUCACAAAUUAAGUACUUUUCCUGAAUUUAGAUUUGCCUAAUCUAGAGCAUUCACUUGUCCUACACUAAAUUCAUUUUAGCAUCUUUAGUUUCACUUGUUAUCUACGAUGAGGGUCGAAGAUCCAGUCUUCAUAUCCGAGAAGUUCGGCGAUCCGAAUCGAUUAAUACCCAGCUGGGGAUCUCCAACCACACGACAUAUGUAGCACUUAACCAUUGCAUAUGUCAACUCGCCACCGAGUUUCUCAAGACCAGAACGGGUCCCCGCCAACCGAGAGCUCAGUACCCCACCAUCCAGCCUCUUGCCAGGUGGAUACACGAUACUCUCGCCAUCUCUCCACUCCCAUUGCGGGCCGGCCUUUCUGGUAUUGGUCCAGCCGAGGCUAAGCUUACCCAUGAUGAGGCAUGUGGCCAGUUAAAGGGUCCUAGAUCAGCAGGCCAACAAUCGGAACGGUCCUUAAUCGACACAGACGGGCGACCUUUCCUGCUCAACGUCUGGUCUCAUCUUAUUAUUUAACACUCAAACCAUGUACCUGACAGAGGUACAAUACUCGAAUAAUGAAUUCAUCAUUGCGAGUGAUGCCUUCAUUAUUGCAAGUUCUUUUUCAUAAAACCCAUAUCCAGUGUUGCACAACAUUCUUUUUAAAAGAAACACUUUUAGUUUCUAAGCAGGGCUAAGCCUCAUUAGUUCUCUUUAUAAAACAGGUAUCAAGGAAUAGUAAUCGAAUUCCAAGGAAUGGCAAUCCAUCAAUUGUUUCAUCACUCAACUCCUAUCACCUAAUGCAGCAUAUAAGUGAUAAAAGUUUUAAAACAACAAGGAGGUGGCAAAUGCACCGGGGCUUGCCUGGGAUAAACACUACGUUAGUGUUGUUAAUUGACGACCACUUGGUGAGCAUCUUCCAUUCUGGUGUUGGCUUGAUGCAUCCACAAGAUUAAUCCACCAAUACCAUCUUAUGGUUCGCUCUGAUCCAUGUCCUUCAGCUCGCAUAAUCAUCUAGCGUACCUAUUGGAAAUGCAUAAUGCAUAUAAGCAUGGACAUGAAUAGCAUGAGAUAGAUAUUCUAUACUAAAGAGGGUAAACACUUAAAAAAUUUAUCACAACUCCUAUGAGCACACUAGAUGUGAAGAUAUUACUAUGUACCACAAGCGCAUCUUUUACACUUAAAUAGGCCUAACGCAAGUAUCAAGCACUCAUAACACACUUAUAAACAUAAGACAAUCGAAUCAACUCAAUAAUACUUGAUAUAAAUGUCUACUAACCUUCUUCGCAUUAUUGAGUUCAUUAUAACCACACAAGGUCUAAUUAGCUACUAGUUCCAAUACAUUCAUCAAAGUAUUAAUUCCCAAACUAAUUGGUUUAAAGCACACAUUAAGAAAGAAAAACUCAACCAUGUGCAACAAGACAUUUGGAUAAACAUUUCAAAUGUCAUAAGUCUGUUGGAUCUUUUAUGGGCCUGGCCCAUUUAUUGAAUAAACUCUAAGGUGUGUAAUGGUGGAGAAUACCAAUAGUACCACAUUGGAAGUCCAAGGGUCUUUUGCCUUGACUUAUAUGGUGGGAUUUAUUCCACUUAACUUGAGAAGUCAAGAAAUGGACAAGGGCGUGCCACACGCGCGCGCGCACGCCGCCGCCGCCGCCGGCCGGGCCGGGCGUGGCGAGGCAGGCAGGCAGGCAGGCAGGCGAGCGGGCGUGGUGUGGUUGUGUUAAUUUUUAGCACUCACUAACCGCGUUAACCUUUCAGUUGCCUGUCUCUACGUCAGCCGAGUGACCCUGUCUCUUCGUCUGCCGAGUGACCCUUCUCCUUCAGCUGCCGACUUAUGGCGUGACUCGGCAAGAGCUGGCCGACUCAUGGCAUAACUCGGCUAGAGCUGGCCGACUCUUGGCGUGACUCAGCGACCUUUCUCCUUCAGCUUCCCUCUGCGAGAGGUUAAAUAGAGGAGCACCCCUGUCACUCGGUACACGCGAGAAACACUUUCAGUCUCACAGUCCAGUCGCCCGAGUGAGGGUAUUUCCAUCUCGUGACUCUGCGCGCACAGAGAAGCGAGAGGGCAGGUGCCUCCGAAGCCAGUGCCGUUCGAGACCUUGCACGGGGGAUCGACAAUUAGGUUUUUGGGGAGCGUCUACGCGACUGCCCAAAACAUCUUCAACAUGACAAAGGAAGCUGGCCAAGGAUCUGGAUCAUCAGAGCGCAUAGGAGGGUAUGAUCAGUUUAUUUACUUACUGUUUUGUGUUCUGGAGAUUAUAUAUGUUUCAUAUAUUCAUCUAUGCUGUUUCAUAUUUAUGAAUGAUUUUAUUUUAUCUGUUAUGUCUUAUUAUAAUAUGAUAGAUCUGUCUGUUUUAAUUUUACAAUCAUGCUAUUUAUGUUUCUAUCUGUUUAUUUUCAUUUGUUCAGUCAGUAUACAUGUUUAUCGUAUUUAUAUGAUUUAUAUAAUUCACAUGCUCUAUGUUCUCUUGAUUCAUAUUGGUAUGGAUCAAUUUAAGAUCACGAUUUCUAUGGUUAAUUAUUUAUUAUAUGUCAUCAUCAUAAUGUUAAUUUAUGGAAUUAAAAUAAUACGGAAAAUGCCUAUAAUUCUAACAAUCCAAAAACCUAAUGUUAGGCAUUUUUCUGUCAGAGGUUUUGCUGCUGUGCUAAAGCCUGAUCCUUUUGAUGGUAAAAACUUCUUGAUAUGGAAAGCUAAAAUGGAAUUGUGGCUAACUGCAAUGUCUUGUUUUCAUGCCGCUGAGGGCAAGCCUGCCAACUUGCCUCCUGAGGAUGAGGCUAAGUUUAAGGCUGAAGACAACCUCUUUAGAGGAGCAGUGAUUAGCGCACUGGACACAAAAUUCCAGAAAAGCUAUAUCAUCCUUCCCACAGGGAAAGAGCUGUGGGAUGCACUUGUCGGAAAGUUUGGAGUAACUGACGCUGGUAGCGAGCUGUACCUCAUGGAGCAGCUGUAUGACUACAAGAUGGUUGAGAACCGAUCUGUAGUGGAACAGGCUCAUGAGUUUCAGGCACUAGCUAAGGAACUCGAACUUUUUCCUUGUCCUUUGCCUGACAAGUUUGUGGCUGGCGGUAUAAUUGCCAAGUUACCACCUUCUUGGAAGGACUUUGCUACCUCUCUAAAACAUAAGAGACAAGAGUUCAAUGUGGAAGAGCUCAUUGGUACUCUUGAUGUUGAGGAAAGGGCUAGAACAAAGGACAAUGGAAAAGGUGUGGAGACCUCUACUGCUAAUGUGGUGCAGAAGAGAAACUUCCGCAAGUUUAACAAGAAGAAAAACCAGAACAAACCAGAGAAUGCAAAUAAACCUGUUCAUACAGCACAAUUUAAAAAGAAGAACAACAACAACAAGGGAAAGGGAGAUUGCUUUGUCUGUGGCAGUGAUCAACAUUGGGCUAGAGAGUGCCCUGAUCGCAAGUUCACACAGGACAAGAAAUCAGCUAAUGUUGUAACCACUGAAACUGGAGAUGGAACAUCUGGGUAUGGUAAUUCUUUACCAUUUGUUCUCUCAGUUUGUAAUUCACCUGAGUGGUGGAUGGAUAGUGGUGCAAAUAUUCAUGUGUGUGCUGAUGCCUUUAUGUUCUCCUCCUACCAGGUCGGGAGGUCUGGCGCCUUGUUAAUGGGAAAUGGGUCGCGUGCUCAUGUUCUUGGUGUUGGUACGGUCAUUCUGAAGUUUACUUCGGGAAAGACGGUGCCAUUGAAGAGCGUGCAGCAUGUGCCCUCUAUCAAGAAGAAUCUCGUUAGCGCGUCUAUGCUAUGUCGAGAUGGAUACAAAGUUGUUCUUGAAUCUAAUAAAUGUGUUGUGUCUAAACAUGGUACUUUUGUUGGUAAAGGAUAUGACUGCGGAGGGUUGUUCCGCUUAUCACUGCAUGAUGUGUGUAAUAAACUCGUGAAUUCUGUUCAUUUUUCUGAUGAGUCGGAUUUAUGGCAUUCACGUUUUUGUCAUGCAAGCUUUGGCUGUCUUAUGCGGUUAGCAAAUAUAAAUUUAAUUCCUAAAUUUAACUUGGUCAAAAAGUCUAAGUGCCAUGUGUGUGUUGAAUCAAAACAACCCCGCAAGCCUCACAAGGCUGCUGAGGCGAGGAGUUUGGCACCUCUAGAACUUGUUCAUUCUGAUCUGUGCGAGAUGAAUGGAAUUUUGACCAAAGGUGGUAAAAGAUACUUUCUCACUUUUAUAGAUGACUCCACUAGAUUUUGCUAUGUGUAUCUCUUAAAAACAAAAGAUGAAGCGUUCAAUUAUUUUAAGGCCUAUAAAGCUGAAGUUGAGAACCAACUUGAGAGGAAAAUAAAACGGUUAAGGUCUGAUCGAGGUGGAGAAUAUUUCUCUAAUGUGUUCGAUGAGUUCUGCGUGGAACAUGGUAUUAUUCAUGAGAGGACACCGCCAUUCUCACCACAAUCCAAUGGGAUUGCUGAAAGGAAAAACCGCACUCUAACAGAUUUGGUGAAUGCCAUGUUGAGUACAGCGGGAUUAUCCAAGGCAUGGUGGGGUGAGGCAAUUUUGACAGCAUAUCAUGUCCUGAAUAGAGUUCUAACAAAGAACAAAGAGAUCACUCCAUUUGAGGAAUGGGAAAAGAGAAGAGUAAAUCUCUCGUAUUUGCGCACUUGGGGUUGCUUGGCUAAAGUGAAUGUGCCAAUCAACAAAAAGCAUAAACUUGGGCCUAAAACUGUUGACUGUAUAUUCCUUGGGUACUCUUUUCACAGCACUGGGUAUAGGUUCUUAAUUAUAAAAUCUGAUGUGCCUGAUAUGUAUGUUGAUACUAUCAUGGAAUCAAGAGACGCAACAUUUUUUGAGAAUGAGUUUCCCAUGAAGAAUACACCUAGUGAUACAAGUCAUGAGACUAUAAUUCCCCAUGAGCACGAACUGUCGAUUCCUAUAGAUCAUGUUGAGGAUUCUCACGUGCACAUCCCUGAGGAGGAUGACACUAUAGUCACUCGAAAGAGCAAGAGACAGAGGGUUGCAAAAUCCUUUGGUAAUGACUUUAUAGUGUACCUUGUGGAAGACACACCAACUACCAUUAGUGAGGCAUAUUCCUCUCCUGAUGCUGACUUAUGGAAGGAAGCAGUAAGGAGUGAGAUGGAAUCUAUUAUGUCUAAUGGAACUUGGGAGGUCGUUGACUGUCCUUAUGGCUGUCAACCUAUAGGUUGCAGAUGGAUCUUCAAGAAAAAGCUUAGGCCUGAUGGUACAAUCGAGAGGUACAAGGCAAGGCUUGUGGCCAAAGGAUAUACCCAAAAGGAGGGUGAAGAUUUCUUUGAUACCUACUCACCAGUGGCUCGGUUGACUACAAUUCGCACAUUAAUAGCCGUGGCAGCCUCUUAUGGUCUUAUCAUUCAUCAGAUGGAUGUUAAGACAACUUUCCUAAAUGGAGAGUUGGAUGAGGAGAUCUAUAUGGAUCAGCCAGAAGGGUUCAUUGCGGAUGGUCAAGAGAACAAGGUAUGCAGGUUGAUAAAAUCAUUGUAUGGCCUAAAACAAGCACCUAAGCAAUGGCAUGAAAAGUUUGAUAAUACUCUUACAGCAGCUGGCUUUGUUGUAAAUGAAUCUGACACGUGUGUAUACUAUCGGUAUGGUGGGGGUGAGUCUGUUAUGCUGUGCCUUUAUGUUGAUGACAUUUUGAUCUUUGGAUCAAAUCUCAAUGUGAUUGAGGAAGUUAAAAAUCUUCUAUCGAGCAAUUUCGAGAUGAAAGAUUUGGGAGAGGCUGAUGUCAUUCUAAACAUCAAGCUUGUUAGAGAAGCUGAUGGUGGGGUAACUUUGUUACAAUCCCAUUAUGUGGAAAAGGUAUUGAGUUGCUUUGGUUUUAGUGACUGUGAUCCUGCUCCAACACCUUAUGACCCCAGUGUGCUAUUAAGAAAGAAUCGGAGAAUAGCAAGGGAUCAAUUGACAUACUCCCAGAUCAUUAGCUCGCUCAUGUACCUUGCAAGUGCAACAAGGCCAGACAUCUCUUAUGCUGUGAGUAAGCUAAGUCGGUUUGUGUCGAAACCAGGAGAUGAUCACUGGCGUGCUCUUGAGAGAGUGUUGCGGUAUUUGAAAGGUACUAUGACAUACGGUAUUCAUUAUACCGGAAACCCAAAAGUGCUGGAAGGCUAUUGUGAUGCCAACUGGAUUUUUGAUGCUGAUGAGCUUUAUGCCACAAGCGGAUAUGUGUUUCUGUUUGGAGGUGGCGCUGUUUCCUGGAAGUCUUGCAAGCAGACUAUCUUAACGAAGUCUACAAUGGAAGCAGAACUCGCAGCAUUAGACACUGCUGGGGCUGAGGCCGAGUGGCUUCGUGAUUUCCUAUUGGACUUACCGGUAGUUGAAAAACCGAUACCAGCUAUUUCCAUGAACUGUGACAACCAAACGGUGAUUACAAAGGUUAACAGUUCUAGGAAUAACAUGAAGUCUACAAGGCAUGUUAAGAGGAGAUUGAAAUCUGUCAGAAAGUUGAAAAACUCCGGAGUUAUAACUGUGGAUUAUGUCCACACAUCAAAUAAUCUGGCAGAUCAAUUCACUAAGGGUCUAUCACGCAAUGUGAUAAAAAGUGCAUCGAGGGAAAUGGGUAUGAGACCCAUGUGAGAUCUACUCUAGUGGUAACCUGCUCUAUGUGAUCGGAGAUCCCGUGAAGUAGAGUGGAGAAACAAGCUAGGAGUAGAUUGUGAGGAAAGAUCCCUUCUUUAACUCAUUUCUGAUGCACAUCUUUCCUAUCUGUAAGGCAGGAUGAUUUUUACCUUAAUGUAUUCCAAGAGUCUUAUAAAGGCGAGAUGUUGUCCUACAGAACAUCUUUUGAGGAAUACACCUAUAUGAGUCAGACUGCUGGUCACAGUCUAUGGGACUUGGUUAAUCCCUAAAUACUCAUGAAAGGCACUGAAGUGUGACUUAUAUGCUUCUAAAAAGCGGGAAUACCCUUUUGCAGCCUAGUAUCAGCAAAGGAUUUGAGUGAAUCUUAUUUCGCACAAAACUGUCAAUUCAAGGCAUAGUCCAUUGUUCAGUUGUGAAUGAGUGAAACUCUUAUUCUAGAUGGAUGUUCAACUUAACAGUCUCCAUCGGAAAACUGGUAUAUCAAAGGAUUGUGAUUCUGAUACUUCAUCAUUACAAACCCUAGAGUUUGGUGGGGAUUGUUGGAUCUUUUAUGGGCCUGGCCCAUUUAUUGAAUAAACUCUAAGGUGUGUAAUGGUGGAGAAUACCAAUAGUACCACAUUGGAAGUACAAGGGUCUUUUGCCUUGACUUAUAUGGUGGGAUUUAUUCCACUUAACUUGAGAAGUCAAGAAAUGGACAAGGGCGUGCCACACGCGCGCGCGCACGCCGCCGCCGCCGCCGGCCGGGCCAGGCCGGACGUGGCGUGGCGAGGCAGGCAGGCAGGCAGGCAGGCGAGCGGGCAUGGUGUGGUUGUGUUAAUUUUUAGCACUCACUAACCGCGUUAACCUUUCAGUUGCCUGUCUCUACGUCAGCCGAGUGACCCUGUCUCUUCGUCUGCCGAGUGACCCUUCUCCUUCAGCUGCCGACUUAUGGCGUGACUCGGCAAGAGCUGGCCGACUCAUGGCAUAACUCGGCUAGAGCUGGCCGACUCUUGGCGUGACUCAGCGACCUUUCUCCUUCAGCUUCCCUCUGCGAGAGGUUAAAUAGAGGAGCACCCCUGUCACUCGGCACACGCGAGAAACACUUUCAGUCUCACAGUCCAGUCGCCCGAGUGAGGGUAUUUCCAUCUCGUGACUCUGCGCGCACAGAGAAGCGAGAGGGCAGGUGCCUCCGAAGCCAGUGCCGUUCGAGACCUUGCACGGGGGAUCGACAAUUAGGUUUUUGGGGAGCGUCUACGCGACUGCCCAAAACAUCUUCAACAUGACAAAGGAAGCUAGCCAAGGAUCUGGAUCAUCAGAGCGCAUAGGAGGGUAUGAUAAGUUUAUUUACUUACUGUUUUGUGUUCUGGAGAUUAUAUAUGUUUCAUAUAUUCAUCUAUGCUGUUUCAUAUUUAUGAAUGAUUUUAUUUUAUCUGUUAUGUCUUAUUAUAAUAUGAUAGAUCUGUCUAUUUUAAUUUUACAAUCAUGCUAUUUAUGUUUCUAUCUGUUUAUUUUUAUUUGUUCAGUCAGUAUACAUGUUUAUCGUAUUUAUAUGAUUUAUAUAAUUCACAUGCUCUAUGUUCUCUUGAUUCAUAUUGGUAUGGAUCAAUUUAAGAUCACGAUUUCUAUGGUUAAUUAUUUAUUAUAUGUCAUCAUCAUAAUGUUAAUUUAUGGAAUUAAAAUAAUACAGAAAAUGCCUAUAAUUCUAACAAAGUCUUCAUCACUCAAGAAUCAAAAAUUGAUUACUCCUACAUAGCCAAACAGGAAUCAAACCAAAUACCCCAUUGCAGAUUUUCUGGACAGCAUUCAGCAGUCAACGGUUUUACUCAUAACUCACAAGAUAUUCAUCCAAAAAUAGUGAACUAAGACUUUCUAGAAAGCUUAUGAAAUCCCCUAUAAUUUUUGUAUUAUCAGCAUAACAUGAUUCGGCAUUUUGAAAGGUCAAUCAGUGCUAAACGUAAAUUCUGUCUAGAUUUGGACAUAAUUCGACUACUCACUUCAAAAAUCCAUAACUGGAGAUUUAGACGUCCAAAACAUGUGAUCCUAGACUUUUUAGAAAGCUAAUAAAAUUGUCUACAACUCAUUUAUAAUCAUCUCCAGUUAAUUCAAUGCGUAGAAAGGUCAGUUAACACAAACAGUCUCUUCUGUCCAGAUUUGGACAGAUUCAGACUUCAUAUUUCAAACAGCCAUAACUUGACUUCUAGACCACCAAAAAGGGUGCUCCAAAAUUUGUUGGAAAGCUUAAGAAAAGUACUACAAUUCUCCUAUAAUUAAUAAGAGCUGAUUCUCAAUUUAACUUAGCCAAACAAUCUAAUUUCCGGAACCUGUACAGAAUUUAGACAGAUUCUAAAACUGGACCUGGAAAAAUCAUAACUCUCAAACUACUAGACCUAUGACCAUGAUAUUUUUAUACCAGUAAGAUGAAGAAGUUAUCUACAUCUUUUAUAUAUAACACAUUCACAGAAAACUUGGUUUACUUUACUAAACUAACUACUUACGUAAAACUGGUCAUGCAGCAUUAAACAACAAGCAUCACACAUGUUCUUUAAACUUAGAAUUCUCUAAUUCUCUAGUACUUUAUUAUAAAUUAAAGCUAAGAUCACCUACUUAAUUACACUAUACAUAUACAUAUUCACCCAAGUAUAGUCCACAUAAUAUAUCAUCACAAAAAGAACUCGUCUUAAUCAUACUACACAUAUACCUAAAGAAUUUACUCUCCUUUGACAUGUUCAUUCACCAACUAUCACACAUGUGGACAACAAUGAAUCUGAAAGUCGACACACCAUAUGCUUGCGCUACAAACAAGAAAAUCAUCGACCACAACUCUAAUCAAUACAACGAUCAAAUUAACUAAAUAGAGUAGCGAAUAGGCUCACCAAUUCACAAACCGACCCGAAGAUCCGCGAGAAAGGCGAGGUUCCCGGUUCGGACCUUCCAUCGAACACUUGGCAAACGUCGCACGGACCUCACUUCUUUACCGGUUAACUCCCUCGUCAACACACACAAUUCACACAUUAGUAAUCGACGUCGAGCGCUAAAGCGACAGGGCGAGAACAGAACCUCACCGGGGGUCGACGGUGUCGCAGGUGGGGCUACACACAACACAAAACUCCUCAUGGUCAUUUCGUCGAGCACCAGAGAGAUGGUGCAAACACCAGUAGAAAGGGGCUGGAUGAGCACCAUGUGCCAUAGGAGAGGCUGAGUGCUUGCAGCAAUAGGGCCGAAGGGGAAGCUGUGGCUGGGGCAGGGGCGAGGUCGGUCACCAAGGAGAUGGCUGGGGCAGCGACGACCAUGGAACCUAGCAGGGGCAUCGAGUAAAGGGGCUGGCAUCCAGAGCACCAUGGAAAAACUCAGCUAGGGCUUGAGGGAGGAGGGCAGAGAGCUGCUGGCGAGCUGGACUGAGGGCAGGCGCUAAAACUUGUGCUCGCAGAGGUGAUGAGGGAUGGAGAUAAGGCCGACAGGCAACAUGGAGACGUGCGUCCAGCUCUUGAAAAGAUAAUGCCGACAACGGAUAAACUAGAAGCUAGAAACGAUGGGGAUAAGUCUAGAGGAAGAUAAGGAAAUGCUGGCGGUGGAUGAAAUUUUCAAGGAAAUCAAGGAACAUACGAGAGACACUUUCUGGGAGCCAUUGUUUAUGUAGGAUGAGGAUUAGUUGAAGAUGGACACUUAGAGGUAAGAAAAUUCAGAUUUUCCUUCUCCAAUCUUUAACCAAUAGAAUACCCCAAAUAAGUGAAAAUCUGGGAUUUGAAUCCGAGCGAGAUGCAAACAGACACAUCAAAACAAUAUUAAUUUUAAUGUUUUUAGACUACACUAACACUGGUAGGUAUUUUUGGGAUCAGACAAAUUUCCACAGUUGUAGACAGUGGAACAGAUUAAUUACGAAUACUCAGUUCGGUUUUAAUUAUCAUGGUCCAAUUAAAUCUCGCAUCAACGCCCUUGUCGCCGAGCUUCUAAUAAAAUUUACUCGGGUCAAAAAUCACAAGAGUGGGUCGAGAUUCCAAAUUAAUGUUUCCUUUAUCCAUAAAUUUUUAAACAGACACAAGACUCGACAUUUCGCAAAAUAAAUACGCGAGAUCGAUAUGACAUCGAACUUGUGAUCCUUUCAAAAGCGACGACACACAUCGUUUACGUGGGCGAGAGGUUGUGCGCUGUCCAGACACCGGUUAACGCUCACCACACGUCACAAUGCCAGACCGCAGAGGGACACGCACGACGCAGGCGCGAGGGAAUUAAAAAAUGGAUUCUACUGAACCAGAUCCGAUUUCAAAGGUUAGAGUUUGGGCAAGACGUCGAUGGCUCAACCCAAACGAUAUUGGAUCUGAUGUUUCGGAAGAUUACUAAAGUCUGAAUUUUUGCAAACUAAAUUAGGACAAUUUAAACAUAUGGAGACAAACACGAUAUCAAAAUCGUGAUAGACAAAGAUGAUUAAAAAUUUAGUGACAUUUACAUUCACCGCUAUCAUGUGUUAACGUCGGCACUCGUGGUCGAGAAGACGACAAACACCUGGGGUGUUACACGGACGGUCCGCGCCCCUGGUCCGGACGGUCCGCCCCUGCACAUCAACGGCUGAAAUCCCAACGGUCAGCAGUAACGGCUAUAUCAACGGCUAUAAUGCAUUUAAUGCGUCGUCAUAUGUCAGAUAAAGUCGGUCGCGGACGGUCCGGUCGUGCACCCCGGACGGUUCGCGAGGACGCUAUAAUUCAUUUUACCGAACCCGUCACCUUCGGGUUUUUUGGUUCUUCACCGACCGGACGGUCCGCGCCUGAGGCCGGACGGUCCGCGCUUGGUCUCGGACGGUGCUUGUUUUUCCAUCGGAUGGUCCGUAGUGAAGACCUGCGUUUAUGCAGUGUUCCUGUCCGAGGGUCACCUUGGUGUCACGGACGGUCCGCCGCAAGGGCCCGGACGGUCCGCGCUUAGUCUGUUUUUCCAAAAAACUUCUCCUGUCCGGAAGAAUCUACGGUAUUCUAGACAGUCAAUUUAGAAUAGUUGUAGAUGAACUUAUGCACCUGUGAAAUGAUCAACUAUGCAAACUGGUUAGUCCACAAGGUUUGUGAUGGUCGUCAAACACCAAAAUCGAUUAUAGGAAAUAUUGAGACUAUUUCCCUUUCAAUCUCCCCCUUUUUGGUGAUUGAUGCCAACACAAACCAAAGCAAAUAUAAAGUGUAGAAAUGUAACUAGUUUGCAUUUUGACAGAUGUGCAUAAGUUAUUUUGAACUGAAACCAUUUCUAAGUAUAUAAGUUUUAUUUGAUAUUUAACAUUUUGGACCACGCUUGCACCACUUGUUUUGUUUUUGCAAAUUCUUUUGGAAAAUCUUUUCAAAGUCCUUUUGCAAAUAGUCAAAGGUAUAUGAAUAAGAUUGUGAGAAGCAUUUUGAAGAUUUGAAAUUUUCUCCCCCUGUUUCAAAUGCUUUUCCUUUGACUUAAACAAAACUUCCCCUGAAUGAAAUUCUCCUCUUAGUGUUCAAGAGGGUUUUACCAAUAUGAAAAAGAUUUAGAUACCAAUUGAAAAAUUCUUUUAAAAACUUUGAAAUUGGUGGUGGUGCGGUCCCUUUGCUUUGGGCUAAUACUCUCUCCCCCUUUGGCAUUAAUUGCCAAAACGGAGACAUUUGAGAGCCCUUUUUACUUUCUCCCCAUUGGUACGAGUAAUAAGAGAGAAGAUUAUACCAAAGUGGAGAACGGUGCGGAGUGAUGGCGAAGGGUAAAUAAUACCGAUAGAGUGGAGUGGAAGUCUUGUCUUCGCCGAAGACUCCAUUUCCCUUUCAAUCUAUGACUUAGUAGAAAUUCUCUCGAAAACACAUUAGUCAUAGGCAUGAAAGAGAUAUGAUCAAAGGUACAUAAAUGAGAUAUGUGUGCAAAGUAUCAAUCAAAAUUCCGAGAAUCAAGAAUGUUUAGCUCAUUCCUAAGUUUGGUAAAGGUUUUCUCAUCUAAUGGUUUGGUAAAGAUAUCGUCUAGUUGUUCUUUGGUGCUAACAUAAGCAAUCUCGAUAUCCCCCCUUUGUUGGUGAUCUCUCAAAAAGUGAUACCGAAUGACUAUGUGCUUAGUGUGGCUGUGUUCAACGAGAUUAUCCGCCAUGCGGAUUGCACUCUCAUUAUCACAUAGGAGAGGGACUUUGCUCAAUUUGUAGCCAUAGUCCCUAAGGGUUUGCCUCAUCCAAAGCAAUUGCGCGCAACAAUGUCCUACGAUAAUGUACUCGGCUUCGGCGGUAGAAAGAGCUACUGAGUUUUGUUUCUUUGAAGCCCAAGACACCAGGGAUCUUCCCAAGAACUGACAAGUCCCUGAUGUGCUCUUCCUAUCAAUUUUACACCCUGCCCAAUCAGCAUCUGAAUAACCUAUUAAAUCAAAGGUGGAUCCCUUGAGGUACCAAAGACCAAACUUAGGUGUAUGAACUAAUAUCUCAAGAUUCUUUUUACGGCCCUAAGGUGAACUUCUUUAGGAUCGGCUUGGAACCUUUCACACAUGCAUACAGAAAGCAUAAUAUCCGGUCGAGAUGCACAUAAGUAUAGUAAGGAUCCUAUCAUCGAUCGAUAUACCUUUUGAUCUAUGGAUUUACCUCCCGUGUCGAGGUCAAGAUGCCCAUUAGUUCCCAUAGGUGUCUUGAUGGGCUUGGCAUCCUUCAUUCCAAACUUGUUGAGUAUGUCUUGAAUAUACUUGGUUUGGCUGAUGAAUGUGCCCUCUUGGAGUUGCUUCACUUGAAAUCCUAAGAAGUACUUCAACUCCCCCAUCAUUGACAUCUCGAAUUUUUGAAUCAUUAUCCUACUAAACUCUUCACAAGUAGAUUUGUUAGUAGACCCAAAUAUGAUAUCAUCAACAUAAAUUUGGCAUAAAAACAAAUCAUUUGCAAUGGUUUUAGUAAAGAGUGUAGGAUUGGCUUUGCCGACUUUGAAGCCAUUAGUGAUAAGAAAAUCUCUUAGGCAUUCAUACCAUGCUCUUGGGGCUUGCUUGAGCCCAUAAAGCGCCUUUGAGAGUUUAUAACAUGGUUAGGGUACUCACUAUCUUCAAAGCUGGGAGGUUGCUCAACAUAGAUCUCUUCCUUGAUUGGUCCAUUGAGGAAGGCACUUUUCACGUCCAUUUGAUAAAGCUUAAAGCCAUGGUAAGUAGCAUAGACAAGUAAUAUACAAAUUGACUCAAGCCUAGCUACGGGUGCAUAGGUUUCACCAAAAUCCAAACCUUCAACUUGUGAAUAUCCCUUGGCCAACCAGUCGGGCUUUGUUCCUUGUCACCACACCAUGCUCAUCUUGCUUGUUGUGGAAAACCCACUUGGUUCCUACAACAUUUUGGUUAGGACAAGGAACUAAAUGCCAUACCUCAUUCCUCGUGAAGUUGUUGAGCUCCUCUUGCAUUGCCAACACCCAAUCCGAAUCUCUUAAUGCAUCCUCUACCCUAUAUGGCUCAAUAGAAGACACAAAAGAGUAAUGUUCACAAAAAUUAGCGACACGAGAUCGAGUGGUUACCCCCUUAUGAAUAUCGCCGAGGAUGGAGUUCACGGGGUGAUCUCGUUGUAUCGCUUGGUGGACUCUUGGGUGAGGCGGUGUUUGACCCUGUUCUUCUUGAUCAUCUUCCUUGUCUUUGCCAUGGUCAUCUCCCCUGUUGGGGCGAAGGCGAAGACCCUACCCUUCGCUCGAUGCCUUCACCGAUCUCGCCGCACCAACGGAGGCGAAGCGACCGGCAGUUUCCACCCUUCAUCCAACACGCCACAAGACGAAGGCCUACGACGAGGUCGCCCCGUCUCGCGUCCUCGUCCAACACGAAGGCCCAUGUGGAAUUCGGCCCAUUGUAACAGGCCCCGCACGGCUAAGUGUAUUACGGGCCCGAUUUGUAGAGGAUUUUCUGUAAUGACAGUCUGUAACCCUGCUUUAUGGGAAUAUUCCGGGGAUGACCUAGGCGCCUGAGGGCACAUGCGUCCUUAAUCCAAGACGUUGGGUACUCAGGCACCUAUAAAUACCCCCCAACAGUGCCCUUGAGAGGCUAGAUUAAUAGAGAAAUUGCCUUCCUGAGUUAAAACCUUGUUUGCAUCACUUUCACUCCCCCGUUGGAUCACCUUGCUCGGGAGAGCAAGUUCCAACAUUUGGCGCCCACCGUUCGUGCUACGAAAAAACCACCCGCGAUGGCACCCAAGAGAGCUAGCUCGAAGGUAGCCCCAUUCGUUGACGAAGCGGCAAAGGCAGCACUGUUGGUCGAGAAAAAGGGCAAGGCCCUUGUCGACGCCACCCACCACGAAGCCUACGAAGACGACACACUCAGCAAGAGGCAAAUGAACAACCCACACCCGAAGGUAGUCUCCGCACCUGCAGCUCCGGAGGACAACCGCAACCUUCCCCAGGCUUCGCUCCACCGGAGGGCGCGGACGCCACUGAGGAUGGUGAAGUCAUCGACGUUUCAGCAGAGGAACAACUACAGCUGCGGGCCUUGCGCGUCAAGAACCGCAACCUCCAGAAGCAAAAGGAGAUCCUCGAGGCCAAGCGCCAACGUGUCUCUGCGCAGGCCAAGGUGCGCCAGAUGAUACGCGACAAGGAACAGAAGGCUCAGGAGCUUGAGCAAGAAAUUGCGCUCAUGCAGAGCGAAGGCCAACUUGGUCUGCAACAAGGCCCACCCCUCCAACAGCGCGCGCCAUUCGAAGACCUGUUCAUUCCUCAGCGUGGACCCAUCCCGCACGCCACAGCGUUCCAAGGUGUCAACUACCUUGACGAGCGAAGUCCCCUGGCGCCGCACCUGCAAGUGUCACCAUGGCCCGCCAACUUCAGGGUGGGGACCUACCCCAAGUACAAUGGCAGCACUGACCCAGCACAGUAUAUCAUGAGCUACUAAGUCGCCGUUGCAUCAUCCGGAGGGGACAACACCGUGAUGGCCAAAUCAUUCAUCAUCGCCCUCGAAGGCCGGCUCUCACUUGGUACACCAGGUUGCCCCCGUUGUCCAUCGACUCCUGGAGAAGUCUGCGGGACAAAUUUUUGCUCAACUUCCAAGGGUACCGCCCAGAAACCGACACCUUGGCUGAACUGUCACUCUGCAAGCAGCUGGAAAGAGAGACUCUGCGGGAGUACUACCGCAAGUUUCUGACUCUCAAGUCGCAACUGCCUUCGGUUGAUGACCAAAUAGCCAUUCACUACGCCAUCAGUGGCCUUCGGGCUGGCGUUCUUUACAGCCACUGCAUCAGAGAUCCACUCAAGAACCUCCAGGAGUUGUAUCAGCUGUUCGAAAAAUACGCCAGAUCCAAAGAGCUCCACCAGCGCAAAGUCGAGUCCCAGAGGAAACCCAAAGACCCUCCGCAGUCCAGCCGUACGUGGACGAGACCUUCGUAAGCAGACUCCGGUCGGUACGGCCGCAGUCAGCAGCAGGUACACAACAUCGCCAUCCAGCACCCCGCUGGUGAGGCCCCUCGCCGCCAAGAGUAUCCCCCACAGGGCCGCGGCAACAGAACUCGUGGUCGGGGCCGGGGACGGGCGCAACAGCCGCACAGAUUUUACUACUUGUUCCACGGCGAAGACUGCGCGCACCCUACAAGGGACUGCCCAGAGACGAAGGCCACCAGAGACAGGAUGUCUCGAGCGCAACCAGCCGACAACCCUAGAGUUGUCGCGCACACAUAUCAACAACUCCCUCAACCAUACAACCACGGCCCCGCUCAGCUCCCACCUAACCACGCAUACUCACACCACCAGGAGGUACAAAUCGUACCUCCCCCACCCCCACCUCCACACCUGCAACAGCCAAACAUCCACCACCCCAACCACCCCAAGCACCAAAACAAGAAGACUUCGCCGAUCAGCCGUAUCGCGGAGUCAUUCACAUGAUCACCGGGGGGUCCAGCGUCGACUUCGAUACGAAGCGACAGAAGAGGGACCACUACCGCAACAUCAACCACGUCGUUGUCACCGGUCCAGUCGUGCAGACAAAGUGGUCCCAUGUGCCAUUGACUUUUGACGCCUGAGACGUCGACCUGCGCAGCGCACCCCACAUCGACGCCAUGGUUAUCAACUGCACCGUGGCAGGCUGGGACCUGCAUAAAGUCUUAGUUGACAAUGGCAGCCAGGCGGAUAUCAUUUUCCUCCACACCUUCGACCGCAUGGGCAUCAGGCACAGCUUGCUCAAACCCUCGGACAACCCACUGUAUGGCUUCGGCGGCAAGGGCACCUUUCCUGUCGGCAAAAUAGAGCUACCCCUCUCCUUCGGUGUAGCACCCAAUGCACGAAGCGAGCAAGUCACUUUCGACAUCGUCGACAUGGUGUACCCAUACAACGCCAUAAUGGGUCGGGGCUCCAUCAACAAGUUUGAGGCAGCCAUUCACGGACUCUACCUGUGCAUGAAGAUCCCGGGUCCGCAAGGCGCGAUCACAGUCUACGGCAACCAGCAGGCCGCGCGCAACAUAGAAAGAGACUUCGUUCCUGGGCAAAGGAACGUACACUGCCUCACGGCGCAGCGCGAGGUCCCCGAGUCUGCCAGCCCAACUGCCAAAGAGCAUGAAAAAGCACAGCUGCAGAGCAACGACGGGACCAAGACUGUUCCCCUCGACCAGGAAACGCCCAAGCAAACAGUCAUCAUAAGCGAAGACCUCACUUCGCAUGACGAAGCGAGACUCCUCUCCUGUCUGUCCAAGAAUAAAGACGUCUUCACCUGGUCCGCCCUCAACCUGGUCAGAGUCAGUCGCUCUAUCAUCGAGCACAGCUUGGGAAUUGACCCUUCGGUGAGGCCAAAGAAGCAGCGGCUGCGCAAGAUGUCUGAUGAGAAGACAGAAGCCGCCAAGGCCGAGGUACACCGCCUGCUUGAGGCCAACUUUAUCGAGCCAGUCGCCUACCCUACAUGGCUCACCAACGUAGUAAUAGUGUAGAAGAAGAGCAACAAGUGGCGAAUGUGCAUUGAUUUCACCAGCCUCAACAAGGCCUGCCCCAAGGACGACUUCUCGCUGCCUCGGAUCGACAAGAUCGUCGAUAGUGCGGCCGGGUGCGAAGUCAUGUCACUCCUUGAUUGCUUCUCCGGCUACCACCAAAUAUAUAUGACAGAGGAAGAUAAGGCAAGAACCAGUUUCAUAACACCCUUCGACACGUAUUGCUUCAUCAGAAUGCCAGAGGGACUUAAGAACGCUGGGUCCACAUUCUCUCGGCUCACCAAAACGGUGCUCGAGAGCCAAGUCGGCAGAAACAUAUUUACGUAUGUGGACGACAUCGUCGUCGCCAGCAGAAACAAGGAAGACCAUCUGGCUGACCUCGCAGAAACGCUCACGAACAUGCGGGACGCACGACUUCGCCUAAACCCCGAAAAGUGCAUCUUCGGCGUUUGCCAGGGGAAAAUACUGGGCUACCUGGUGUCGCACCGCGGGAUCGAAGCCAAUCCGACCAAAAUCCAGGCCAUCAUCAACAUGACGCCCCCGCAGUCAGCCAGAUUAGUCUAACGACUGACAGGCAGAUUGGCCGCCCUCAACAGAUUCAUCUCCAGGUCCGCAGAGUGAAGCCUACCUUUCCUCAAAACACUCCACGGCGCAAAAGACUUCGCAUGGGGACCAGAGCAAGCGGCGGCCUUCGCUUCAUUAAAGCAGCACCUAUCAGAGUUGGCGAUUCUUACAAGCCCCAACCCCUCGCUACCCCUGUUGCUCUACAUCGCAGCUUCGCCGCAUGCGGUCAGCGCAGCACUGGUUCAAGAGCAGGACAGAGAGGGCACGAUCAGGCAAUGUCCAGUUUAUUACGUCUCCGAAGUACUCACGACAUCAAAAUGCAACAUGACGGAACUGGAAAAAAUCGCCUACGCAGUUGUUAUGGCUUUGCGCAAAUUGCGCCAUUAUUUUGAAGCGUUCAAGGUACAGGUCACCUCAGACAGGGGACUCAGCGAAUUGUUUAGAAAUCCAGAGCAUCUGUCCGGAUUGCCAAAUGGGCAACCGAGCUUUCUGGCUACCAUAUCACCUUCGAGCCCAGGACAGCCAUCAAGUCACAAGUCCUGGCAGACUUCAUCGUCGACUGGACUGGGCCAAUAAAGCAGUCGGACACGCCCGCAGAGAAGGUGUGGACCAUCCAUUGCGACGGCGCAUGGUGCCAUGCGGGGGCAGGCGCAGCUGCAGUCAUUACUUCACCCACAAGGGUCAAGCACAGAUAUGCAGCACGCCUCAACUUUGCUUUGGAGUCUGACAGAUGCGUCAACAAUAUAGCAGAAUACGAAGCUGUCAUCCUCGGCCUUCGCAAGCUAAGGGCACUUGGCAUCACUACCUGUAUCAUUAGAACAGACUCCAAGGUAGUCGCCGGCCAAGUCGAGAAAGAUUACGCAGCGAAGGACCCCGCACUCAUGCAGUAUCUCGUGGCUAUCCGUAGUCUCGAGAGGCAAUUCAAAGGCUUCACCUUGCAGCACGUGGACCGAGCCAAGAAUGAGGAGGCCGACGCAUUGGCCAAGGCAGCCGCCAGAGGCAAGGCCCUGCCCUCCGACGUAUUCUACCAUGUCAUCAGCACGCCAGCCGUCCGCAGCCCAGAGGGCCUCCAAAUAACCAAUGACAGCGAGGGCCACCACAUAGUCAACCUCAUUAUAACCGAAGACUGGCGGGCACCAAUAACCAUGUUCCUGCAGGGGUACUAUCAUCCAACCGACAUCAACGAGGCCAAGCGCCUCAAACACCGAAGCCGGGACUUCGCACUCAUCGAAGGCCAGCUUUACAAGAAGGGAAUCAGCCAACCCAUGCUUAAAUGUGUCACCGAAACCGAAGGCGUCCAAAUCCUGCGCGAAGUCCACAGCGGGACUUGUGGCUCUCACGCAGGGCCUAGGGCCCUAGCUGCAAAGGUGAUCCGUCAAGGUUUCUACUGACCUGCCAUGAUCUGCGCCGCAAAUCGGGUCACAAGGUCAUGCGAAGCCUGCCAGAAGUUUUCUCCACGCUCGGGAAGUCCUUCGCAAUUCACAAAGCUAAUCGCCCACACAUGGCCCCUUCAGCGCUGGGGCCUGGACAUUGUCGGGCCACUACCCACGGCCCAAGGGAACCUCAAGUUCACCUUCGUCGCCGUCGAGUAUUUUACCAAGUGGAUCGAGGCGAGGGCAGUAUCCACGAUAACAUCGAAGACUGCCCAAAAAUUCUUCUGGCAAAACAUUGUUUGCCGAUUUGGAGUCCCAUCCGAGCUCACAGUUGACAAUGGCAAGCAAUUUGACAGCCAAGACUUCAGGGAUUUCUGCUUCUCCAUUGGCACCAUGCUUGCCUUCGCCUCAGUGUACCACCCACAAUCCAACGGCGUCGUGGAGCGCGCCAAUGGCAAGAUUUUCAUGGCGAUCAAGAAAAUGCUCCUCGACGACAAGAAGGGCAAAUGGGCCGACCUGCUACCUGAAGCAGUCUGGGCACUGAACACGACCGAGUGUCGGGCGACCGGUUUCACCCCCUUUCGCCUGCUAUACGGAUCGGAGGCCAUGACCCCGCAGGAAAUCAAACAUGGGUCCCCGCGGACAAGCGCUUCAGUAGUACCCAACGUCGAUGAGCCAACUUCCAAAGACCUUAUUGACGGAGACCAUGUCUUUGCCCUGCAGGCCCUCGACAAAUAUCAAGCACAAACGAAGGCCUAGCGUGACCACGCAGUCGUCCCAAGAGAAUUCAACGAAGGGGACCUCGUACUUGUCCGCACAACUCGGACAGAGUCACGGGGUAAGCUGGAACCAAAGUGGGAAGGACCAUUUAUCGUCAAGACGAAGUCAUCUCCCAGCGCGUACAGACUGACAACACAAUCUGGCGAAGACCUGGAACAUUCCUGGAAUAUAGAUAAUCUUCGCAAAUUUUUUGUUUGAAUCCUCAGGGCCAUCACGCCCUUGUAAUUCACCAAACAUUAUCAUUCUAGCCCGCACUAUUUUCCUCCCAGGGGGGUGAGGUUUUUAAUGAGGCGGCGCCAUGUAAUAUACAAGCAAAAAUCCCCCGCAAAAAAAGAAAAAAACUAAGCCAAUGUCGAAAAAGGCCGCAUCGACAGUCUUCGGCAUUCGACCACACCAAAGUCACCGCGAGGGGCAACGCUGACUACCCUCGCGCGCGACACUCCGUGCAAAAGUCGCCUAUGGGUGCAGCCGGAAUAGCACAAUAAGUGCGCAACAUCGAAGUCUUCUCCAAAAGACUACCCGUGCAAAAGUCGCCCAAGGGUGCAGCCGGACCCUCCGUGCAAAAGUCGCCUACGGUUGCAGCUGGAAUAGCACAAUAAGUGGCAAAUCAAAGUCUUCUCCAAAAGACUCUCCACGCAAAAAGUCGCCUACGGGUGCAGCUGGACUAGCAUAAUAAGUGCGCAAAAUCAAAGUCUUCUCCAAAAGACUCCCCGUGCAAAAGUCGCCUACGGGUGCAGCCGGACUAGCAUAAUAAGUACGCAAAAUCAAAGUAUUUUCCGAAAGGUUCCCCGCGCACAAGUCGCCUACGGGCACGACCGGAUCAACGAAGGCACGUAGCUUCAUAUAAAUUACGGUUACAUACAUACAGCGAGGGCAUCGCACCUUACAUUGGCUCAACCUUUGGGAUGAUAUCCGUCUCCCUGUAGUUGAACAACAUUAUCCUCAGCUCUUCACCCUCAAAAAGAUUUCGCAACUCCCCCUUACCUACACUCGCUCCAGCCGGCGAGGACAACAAUUCCCGUUUGCUAGCCCCGUCCACACGAAGACGACCACCCUCCACCUCACUCACUCUCCGUUUCGCCACCGCCCUUCGCCGCCUACGCCCAGCACUCGGACCAGGUAGAACUUCAGCGCCCACCACACACGGAGAAGCCUCCGCCGCAGCCACAUCCAAGGCCGCAAAAUAAUCCAAGUCCUCAUCCGAAGACUCUUCCGACCACACAACCGAACUCCCAGAAUCACCAGACUAAAAAAACUUAGACACAGAAUAAUCAGAAUCAUUUUCGGCAACCACGGUCGAAGCCACCACAAAAUUAACAUUAUCAGUAGCGGUUGCGUGCGCAGGCCCAAAACCCUGAACCUGCGCAGCAACCGAGGUUCAGUAACGUGUAGACAAAACUUACAAACUCCCCUGCACCCAUUUAACUACUUAGCCACCUGCGAAGGCACGGCCGCGGCCAUGGGGUCUUCGACUGCUGGCUCAGCCACCACCUCCAGGGCACCUUCGACCGUCAGCGCAGGGGCUGACACAGGGUCUUCGCCGGCCAUAGCAGGCAUGGGCGCGGCCAAGGGGCCUUCACCGGCAUCCGAGGGCAGCACCGGAUUGCCCUCCGCAGCCUCGGGCGGCGCGUCGACCAGACCUCCAAUGUCCUCGACGUCCUCGGCACGCUCCAUCUGCAGCAAAAGCACAUUCACUCAGCAAAAACUACACAUAUCCACAUGCAACCAACCACACAAAAAUAAUAACCUUCACCUGCUCUCUCGCCCGGUCAGAUCGCUCCCUGACAGCCUCCCGACCAUGCGCCCCCCCACAUCCUAUCAAAAAGUGACCUCGCUGACUGCUUCACAACAGGGUCUUCGGCCUUGAAGAUCUCGCAUUUAAAGCUCUCGUCUGAUUGGUCGAAGACCUCGUAGUGUCUGCAGCCAUAGCGGGACAACACAUUCAUGGCCCCCUCAUAGGUGACGAGGGAGGCAAAGGACAUGAAACCCUCGACGAUGGUCGGGAGUACCAGCAACUCCUCCUGUAACCACUCGAGGAAGCGAAGGCCCGCCUCCCGGUCGGGCACCUCGAAGUCAGCAGUACGCGCACCCAGCUCGCGGUACGAGUCCAUGAACUGUGCGAGCGUCCGCUCAACCUCCGAGCGCGUAGAGGCCUCGACCUUGUCCACGCGACCGCGCAGGGCGUUGAACCUCGCCACCCACUCCUCGGCGCGCUGGCUGGCGAGACUUCCCUCCGCCCGCGCCACUUUGGCGUCCGCCUGCGCAGCCUGCGCCUCAGCGAUGGCCUGGUUUGCCUCCUUCCUUUCCUCCACCAGCUGGCGCCGGAGGUCCGUCUUCUCGGCCUCCAAGGUGGCCACUUUCUCCGCCAGCCUGCGGUUUUUGCUCUCCGCAGCCGACUUCUCCCGGACGGCGUCCGCGUGCUGCGCCCGAAGUCUCUCGACUUCGGCAGCCACGUCCACAGUCAGGACGCCAGACGCAACGCGGUCGGCGAAGUCAGCCGCCUGACAACAACACAUGAGACCCAACUCCUCAUGAAAACAAACAAACACCGAAGUACAGCUCAACUUACUUGACUCAGCUGAUGCGACAGCCGCUGCAAUGCACCCCUCAGCCGCUGGGACAUGUUGCCCGCCACGUCCUUAGCGGCAGUGGCUGUCAGAAUCUCGCCGCUUGCGCAGAAGGCGGCCCACGGGUCCUGCGCGGUCCCCUUCGCCCUUACCACCUCCGAUGGCGAAGUGGUCGCCACCAAAGGCGGGAAAACAACCAUUUGUCCCUCGCCCAGCCCUGCAAUAUAUCACCGGUCAGAAGACCUCAAAAAAAAACUUACCAACAAAAUAGUCCUCCACGCUGAUGUUUGUGCCAAAGUCGGCAACAUGUUUUCCUGGUGAGGGCAGCUCCCGUACUUUCGCAGCCUCGACCAGGAGAGGCUUGGUCCCACCAGCGGCGGCCAUCUUCGCGCUCGCCGACGACUUGCCAGAUCCGGGCGCGGCCGGUUUCGCAGCCGGCAUCGGCUGGCUGCUGCCGUGGGCCGCAGCCUUCGCGCUACCCUGCGCUCUCUUCGCCUCAUGCCAAGGAUCUACGAUCCUGAUAACCGCCCGACGCUUCUGCGCAGCGUCUUGACGGUCCUUGUUCAUCACUACCGACACAACAACAGCAAUAUUCUGUCCGUAAGGGAAAAUCCUCAAGCCACGAGCUAUACGAGACGUAGACAUGUCUUCGCCCUCCGCCCAGGGGAUCGGAAGAUUCUUUGGCCAUCGACCCCCGGUAACCUCCAGCAUUCGUGCCAAAGACUCCCGGAGCUCGGGCGAAGACAUCCUUCCCCCGGGAGCCGUGCAUGUCCCCAUCAACUCCACAGCAAAAUUAUCAGACACCCCCAUUCCCCCGCCGUAGUACCUAAUUUCCUCCUCUUAGCGACCGGGGCAGCAUCCUGCGAAGGCCCUUCCUCGGUCCCGCCCAUCAGUUUCUUCCCACGGCGGUCGGCGGCGUCUUUCCCGGGAUAACCACCGUACGGCAACCGGUUCAAUUCGAAGACCCGAUUCAACCUGUCAUUGGACCCACGGAUAUCCCAGCUCCGUAGACCCUCUGUCUUCGGCACGUAGCGCCCCUCAAUCCUCGCCGCACCGUCUUCCGCUUCACGCACGAAUGCGGCGGGAUCUUGGCCACGCAAAUCCAGUGCAAAGGCAGGACUUCGCACCAGCUGCCCACCCCGGGAGGGCAUCUCGCAAGGGCAUACUUCGCCCAGCGCCCAUCCAUGCGCCAAGGGCCAUACCCCAUACCCGAUAAAUUCCUCAACAAGAUCGCGCCUGCUACUCAUGCGGGCAGCGCACCGAAGGGCUCCUUCGUCUUCAUCAUUCUCCGCUACCUCAAACUGCGGGUACGCUACAUAAUAAUGCAAGCACAUGACGGCCACGGGGAGCCCUAGGUGGUCUUUGACUGUGCCUUCGGAAACGUAAAACCAGAAUUCCCACCAGUUUCCCCAUUUAUUGCGGGCGCAGGGAACCAACUCCACGACUUCCAUCGAAGUCUUGCCGGUCUUCGGCGUAAAUGUGUAAGAUCCAAAUUGUGCAAUUUCAUGUCCAAUUUUCCUCUUUUGCCAAUGCAGACAAUAGUGUUUUGCAAAGACUUCCACAGAGGGCUGACCGCCAUACGAAGUCGUCGCCCAGACAUACUUCGCCAGGGCCACCACGGCAUUCGGCGUCACCUGGUGGACCUGGACCUCGAAUCUCCACAGGACCUUCGCCACGAAUCGAUGCGCAGGCAGACGAAGGCCAGCGGCAAAAAAAGCCUCAAAAACGACCCACUCCCCUUCUGGCUCGGGGACCUCCCCGCCCCCGGGACACGCCCCACUCCACUGCCAAAAUAUCCAAGCUGUUGCAUAUCUUGCACGCGGAUCGAGGACAUCCGCGAGACGCCAAACUCCAUGGUAUCACCAGGACGCAACUCCUCCACCGCCACGUUGCUCAGUGUAUCCUCGGACGAUGCGCUGGCCGGCGGUGUAUCGGUAGCAGAAGAGGAAGAGGACGACAUGGCUACGUACCGUCGGCGGCGGCGGGCGGUCUGCUUCACGCGAGCCAGAUCUCCGAUGAGCAGGAGCAAGGAGGGCAGGCGAGCGAUCAAACGGUUUCAAGAGGAGGCUAGGAUUUUGCGACGCGCAGAAAGAGUACCUGACCCGCCCCGCCCCCUUUUUAUACACAAGACGUGGCGCUUCGGGAAACCCGCAAUCCAAUAGUGCCGCGUCCGUCAACGGUCGCAUCAAAAACCCCCGCGAACCACUUCAAGCGAGGGCAGCAUCUCCACCAUCUAGCGACGUCUUCGGCACCAGAUGACUUAGUCGAACUGGUCCCUCGGAGGGCAAAUGUUGGGGCGAAGGCGAAGACCCUACCCUUCGCUCGAUGCCUUCGCCGAUCUCGCCGCACCAAUGAAGGCGAAGCGACCGGCAGUUUCCACCCUUCGUCCAACACGCCGCAAGACGAAGGCCUACGAUGAGGUCGCCCCGUCUCGCGUCCUCGUCCAACACGAAGGCCCACGUGGAAUUCGGCCCAUUGUAACAGGCCCCGCACGGCUGAGUGUAUUACGGGCCCGAUUUGUAGAGGCUUUUCUAUAAUGACAGUCUGUAACCCUGCUUUAUGGGAAUAUUCCAGGGAUGACCUAGGCGCCUGAGGGCACAUGCGUCCUUAAUCCAAGACACUGGGUACUCAGGCACCUAUAAAUACCCCCGCACAGUGCCCUUGAGAGGCUAGAUUAACAGAGCAAUUGCCUUCCUGAGUUAAAACCUUGUUUGCAUCACUUUCACUCCCCCGUUGGAUCACCUUGCUCGGGAGAGCAAGUUCCAACAUCCCCCUUGAUCAUUGCUCUCCUCUUGGGGUGGCUCAUCUUCUUGAUCUUCUUCUUCAUUAUCUUGAGCCUGAUCCUCAUCUUGGAUUGGUGGAGAUGCUUGCAUGGAAGAUGACGGUUGAUCUUGUGCAUUAGUGGGCUCUUCAGAUUCCUUAGGACACACAUCCCCAAUGGACAUGUUCCUUAGCGCAACGCAUGGAGCCUCUUCAUCAUCUAGCUCAUCAAGAUCAACUUGCUCUACUUGAGAGCCAUUAGUCUCAUCAAACACAAUGUCACAAGAAACCUCAACUAAUCCAGUGGAUUUGUUGAAGACUCUAUAUGCUCUUGUGUUUGAGUCAUAUCCUAGUAAAAAGCCUUCUACAACCUUAGGAGCAAAUUUAGAUUUUCUACCUCUUUUAACAAGAAUAAAACAUUUGCUACCAAAGACUCUAAAAUAUGAAACAUUGGGCUUUUUACCAGUGAGGAGUUCAUAUGAUGUCUUCUUGAGGAUUCGGUGAAGGUAGAGCCGGUUGAUGGAGUUGCAGGCGGUGUUAAUUGCCUCAGCCCAAAACCGGUCCGGAGUUUUGUACUCCUCAAGCAUGGUUCUCGCCAUGUCAAGUAGAGUUCUAUUCUUCCUCUCCACUACACCAUUUUGUUGAGGUGUGUAGGGAGAAGAGAACUCAUGCUUGAUGCCCUCCUCCUCAAGAAAGCCUUCAAUUUGAGAGUUCUUGAACUCCAUUCCAUUGUCGCUUCUUAUCUUUUUAAUUCUCAACCCGAACUUAUUUUGAGCUCGUCUUAAGAAUCCCUUUAAGGUCUCUUGGGUUUGAGAUUUUUCCUGCAAAAAGAAUACCCAAGUGAAGUCAGAAUAAUCAUCCACAAUUACAAGACAAUACUUACUCCCGCCGAUGCUUAUGUAAGCGAUCGGGCCGAAUAAAUCCAUGUGGAGUAGCUCAAGCGGCCUGUCGGUCAUCUUGAUGUUCUUGUGUGGAUGAUGGGUACCAACUUGCUUUCCUGCUUGACAUGCGCUACAAACCCUGUAUUUCUCAAAAUAAACAUUUGUUAGUCCCAAAAUGUGUUCUCCUUUUAGAAGCUUGUGAAGAUUCUUCAUCCCAACAUGGGCUAGUCGGCGAUGCCAGAGCCAACCCAUAUUAGUCUUAGCAAUUAAGCAAGUAUCAAGUUCAGCUCUAUUAAAAUCAACCAAGUAUAGCUGACCCUCUAAUACUCCCUUAAAUGCUACUAAAUCAUCACUUCUUCUAAAGACAGUAACACCUAUAUCCGUAAGAAGACAGUUGUAACCCAUUUUGCAUAAUUGAGAAACUGAAAGCAAGUUAUAAUCUAAAGAAUCUACAAGAAAAACAUUGGAAAUGGAAUGGUCAGGAGAUAUAGCAAUUUUACCAAGUCCUUUGACCAAACCUUGGUUUCCAUCCCCGAAUGUGAUAGCUCUUUGGGGAUCAUCAUUUUUCUCGUAGGAGGAGAACAUCCUUUUCUCCCCUGUCAUGUGGUUUGUGCAUCCACUAUCAAUGAUCCAACUUGAACCCCCGGAUGCAUAAACUACAAAACAAGUUUAGGCCUUGUUCUUAGGUACCCAAACGGUCUUGGGUCCUUUCACAUUAGAAACAAGCACCUUGGGUACCCAAACACAAGUCUUGGAGCCCUUGUGUUUGCCCCAACAUAUUUGGCAACUAUUUUGCCUGAUUUGUUAGUUAGAACAUAAGAUGCAUCAAAAGUUUUAAAUAAAAUGUUAUGAUCAUUUGAUGCAGUAGGAGAUUUCUUUUUAGGCAAUUUAACAUGGGUUGAUUGCCUAGAGCUAGAAGCCUCAUUCUUAUAUAUAAAAGCAUGAUGUGAACCAUAAUGAGAUUUCUUAGCAUGAACUCUCCUAAUCUUGUGUUCGGGAUAACCAGCAGGAUAUAAAAUAUAGCCCUCGUUAUCCUGAACCAUGGGAGCCUUGCCCUUAACAAAACUAGACAAUCUUUUAGGGGCAUUAAUUUUGACAUUGCUUCCCUGUUGGAAACCAAUGCCAUCCUUAAUACCAGGGCGUCUCCCACUAUAGAGCAUGCUUCUAGCAAAUUUAAAAAUUUCAUUUUCUAUCUCAUGCUCAUUAAUUUUUGUAGUUAAUUGAGCUAUAUGAUCAUUUUGUUGUUUAAUUAAAGCAAGGUGAUCAUGAAUAGCAUCAACAUUCAUAAGUCUACAUCUAGUACAAAUAGAGACAUGAUCAACAGUAGAUGUAGAGGGUUUGCAAACAUUUAAUUCAUCUAUCUUAGAUUUUAGCAUGGCAUUUUCAUCUCUAAGAUAUGAGAUAGAAUCAUUGCAAACAUUCAAAUCUUUAACCUUGGAGAUUAAGCUAGCAUUCUCAGUCCUAAGGCUAGAAAUAGAUUCAUUCAAUUUAUCAAUCUUAGCAAUUAAACUAGCAUUUUCAUUUCUAAGACUGACAAUAGAAUCAUCACAAGCAUUUAAUUUUUCAACCUUAGUAAUUAAACUAGCGUUCUCAGCUCUAAGGCUGGAAAUGGUGUCAUGGCAAAUGCUAAGCUCUUUAGUCAAAAUUUCACAUUUUUCUAUCUCCUGAGCAUAAGCAUUUUUAACUUUAACAUGCUUUUUGUUUUCCUUAAUAAGGAAUUCCUCUUGGCUAUCCAAGAGUUCAUCCUUCUCAUGAAUAGCACCUAUCAAUUCAUUCAAUUUUUCUUUCUGUUGCAUGUUAAGAUUGGCAAAAAAGGGUAAGCAAAUUAUCCUCAUCUUCACUAGAGCUACCCUCAUCACUAGAUGUUGUAUAUUUUGUGGAGGCUCUAGAUUUUACCUUCUUCUUCUUGCCGUCCUUCGCCAUGAAGCACUUGUGGCCGACGUUGGGGAAGAGGAGACCUUUGUUGACAGCGAUGUUGGCGGCAUCCUCGUCGGAGGAGUCGGUGGAGCUCACGUCGGAGUCCCAUUCCCGACACACGUGGGCAUCGCCUCCCUUCUUGUAAUAUCUCUUCUUCUCCUUCUUCUCCCCCUCUUGUCGUCGCCCCUGUCACUGUCACUAGAUAUAGGACAUUUUGCAAUAAAAUGACCAGGCUUACCACACUUGUAGCACACCCUUUUGGAACGGGCUUGUAGUCUUUCCCCUUCCUUUGCUUGAGGAUUUGGCGAAAGCUCUUGAUGAUGAGCGCCAUCUCCUCGUUGUCAAUGGGGAGCCUACUUGAUGUAGACUCUUCUUUCUUCUCUUCCAUCGCUUUGAAUGCGACGGGUUGCACCUCGGGUGUGGAGGUGCCGCCUUGCUCCAAGUUGAUGAUUUGUUUGGAGCCUUUGAUCAUCAAUUCAAAGCUCACAAACAUUCCUAUAACCUCCUUGGGAGACAUUAGCUUAUAUCUAGGAUCACCACAUAUUAAUUGAACUUGCGUAGGAUUGCGAAAAACGAGUGAUCUUAGAAUAACCUUGACCAUUUCAUGGUCAUCCCAUUUUGUGCUCCCAAGAUUGCACACUUGAUUCACCAAGGUCUUGAGCCGGUUGUACAUGGCUUGUGGCUCCUCUCCUUGGUUGAGGACGAAUCGACCGAGUUCCCCCUUGAUCGUCUCCCAUUUGGUGAUCUUGGUCACCUCGUCUCCUUCAUGCGCCAUCUCAAGGACGUCCCAAAUUUCUUUGGCCGUCUUUAACCCUUGCACCUUAUUAUACUCCUCUCGACACAAGGAGGCGAGGAGUAUAGUUGUGGCUUGGGAGUUAAAGUGCCGAAUUUGGUCGGCCUCGUCCGAAUCGUAGUCCUUGUCCCCCUUCUUUGGUACCUGUGCUCCAUUCUCAAUAAUAUCCCAAAUACUUUUGUGGAGUGAGGUUAGAUGAUUCCCCAUUUUAUCACUCCACAUAGAAUAAUCCUCACCAUCAAAAUAUGGUGGUUUGCCUAAGGGAACGGAAAGUAAUGGAGUGCGCUUAGAAAUGCGAGGAUAGCGGAGAGGAAUCUUACUAUACUUCUUGCGCUCAUGGCGCUAAGAAGUAGUGGAUGACAAGUCAGAGCCGGAUGUGGAGGGCGAUGAAGAGUCGGUCUCGUAGUAGAACACUUUCUUCAUCUUCUUCUUGUCGCCUCUCCGAUGGGUCUUGUUGGAGGAAGAGGAUUCCUCCUUUUGCUUGUGGCCGGACUCCCUUGAGAGGGUUCUCCCCGAGCUUGUGGGUUUGUCGCCAGUUUCCAUUUCCCUCAUGGCGGAUCCUCCCGACAUCACUUCGAGUGGUUAGACUCUAAAUGAAGUACCAGGCUCUGAUACCAAUUGAAAGUCGCCUAGAGGGGGGUGGAUACGCGGAAACUGAAAUUUACAACUUUAAACACACUACAAGUGUGACAGAACCUCCCAAGUCAUUAGGGCCACCUACAGUUGUCCUUGUCCAACAAACCUCAGAUAAUUCUGCAGGUGCCCCUGAUCACUUGACAAGUUUGGUAUCUGUAUUCCUUACCUUUCCCAAGAGUGUUUCACCCAUUACGCAUAUAUUACAAUACAUCGGAGGUGCGAAAAUGCGGAAGCAGUUAGAAUAACUUACUUUAUUGAAAAGUAAGAAAGAGUUGUAUUAUUACAGACCAGAGCAAAAUAUAAGAGUGCUGAGUAUUAUUAUUACAUAACCUGGGAGGCAAAAACCCCUCCCGAUAAACAGUAAAAAGUUUUUCUUAACGGAGGACCUUUCCUCCCGCAACUUUAGUCUUGAUUUUCUUCUUUCGGUACCACCUUGGAACAGAAGCAACAAAAAUUUGCUGCUUCUUCACCUAAAACAACAUGGGACAAAGCCCUGAGUACGAAAUGUACUUUCGCAAGUCUUACCCGUCAAAAUAAAAGACUCUCAAGGAUAUGCUGGCCUUUAGGAGUCAAGGUAUGGCUUAUCAAUAAUCAAAAUACUCUGUUUGCAUAAAUGCUUACUAAUAGUGGAUCCUUAAAAUCCAGUUUUACUUGUUAGGUUAAGUAAAAUUACCUGUAUCUAGGGUUCUUUCUACCCUAGUUCAAUCACUUGACCUAUACUAGCCAAUUUCUUAACAACCCUUCUUAUUCACUGGGAUGCUAUGUGUAGGGCAGUGACCAAGUCUUCAUGUCCGUGAAGUUACGACGAUCCGAAUCGAUUAUACUCAGCUGAGGAUCUCCAAUCACACGACAUGUGUAGCACUUAACCCUUGCAUAUAUCAACUCGCCACCUGGGUUCUUAAGACCAGAUCAGGUUCACGCCAACCGAGAGCACAGAUACACCACCGUCCAGCCUCUUGCCACGAAGGGUACACACUACUCUCGCCAUCUCUCCACUCCCAUUGCGUGUUAUCUUAUUCUGGUAUUAGUCUGCCCGAGGCAAAGCUUACCCAUGAUGAGGCAUGUGACCAGUUAAAGGGUCCUCGAUCAGCAAGCCUACAUCGACAAGGUCCUUAAUCGACUCAGACGGAGACACUACACCGAGACUCUCUUCUCGUGCAAGUCAUCCGCCCGGUCUCAGCUUUAUCAUUUCAAACCCUAAGUUUGGUACCUGGUAGAGGUACAUCUUUUCUGAUGUUGAACCCAUCAUGGCCAUGAUGGAUCCAUCAUCAAGUUUUAUUUUUGAAAACAUCCCACCCACUUUGAAGCAUCAUCUUUUAUGAAAACAAAAUGUUUUGUUUUUCUAAAGCAAAGCUAAGCAUAAGAAAAACCUUUUUUUGUAAAUCAGGGAUUAAGGAGAAUUAAUCAAAUCCAAGGAAGGAAAUGCAGCAAUUGGUUUAGCACACAACUCCUAUCACCUAAUGCAUCAAGUAAGUGAGAAAGAUUUCAAAAUAACAAGGAGGUGGCAAAUGCACCGGGGCUUGCCUUGUGUUACUGGUGAGUCAGGCUCUGCUCCACAGAUAUCAAAGUAGAAGCAGUUUCCUGCCUGAGGUUCUUCAGGUGGUGGCGGUGAAGUCCUCGCUUCUUCAACUUCUAUUUCCUCUUCGUUCUCUAGAUAUAAUCAUAUAUAAUUAUGAAUGCUCAUGUAAUGCUCAUGAAAAUGCUAAGAUAAUAAAAGUUUAUUAUCUAAUGUCUUGAGUAUAACUUUCCUUCACGGAUCUCCGAGAAGCAAGGGUUUUCAGAGUCUAUAGUGAAGUUCACAGGGCAGGGGCUAGGGUUUUGGGUUCUAAGUACCAAACAUGGUUCAAAUCAUACCAAACUUUACCCAAGGCUUAUAAAUAUUAUUUAAAGUUUACCUAAAAAGUUUGGUGAAUUUUGGAAUUAUUAAUUAUUCCCUAAAAUUCCAGAAGUAUGGAUUUUGGCUACUUUAAAUGCCCCAAAAUUCCCUAUUUGAACUAAAAAUUAGGAAACUAUUUUUAUUAAAUACUAUAAGAAAUUAGAAGUCUAGCAAAAUUUGUCUAGUAUUUUUUAGCAUUUUCUACAAUUUUCUAGGAAUUCUUAAAGCCUAGAAGAAAAAGAAAAAGGAAAACAAGCUACAGGAUUGGACUGAAACUGGCCUGGGUCGGCCCAUUUACUGACGAAAGCACGCCCGCGCGCGCCCGCGCUGCUGGUUUUGCAGAAAGGUCCCUCACGGUUUAAAUAACUGGAAAGGAAGUCAUGGCACUAUUCUGGUGUCUCACUGACAUUUGCAAGAACACCCCCGUGCUUCUAUUCCUUCACAAACCGAAGUCCACGACAACGAACGACGCAGGGCCGAGCUCCGACGAGCUUGUACCAGCCGGAUUACUUGAUGACUGGUGUUCUACUUUGGCAGAGACCAAAUUCAAGCCCUAACCAUUGUUUCGCCUCAACUAAUUUCACGAACGGCGAUCUAACCUGCUCUGUCCAUGGUGACAGCGGGUACCAUGGACAUUCAAACGUGUUCCCGGUGAUCUUGGGGGUCCUGGUCUAAUUGGCUAGGUCGGGGAGUAUCAGGGACACAUAAGGACACUGAAACGAAAGAGUAGGGGGUUUGAACAAACCUGGAACAAGCUAGCCACGGCGAGGGUGUUUCUACGGUGGCGGAAACAUAGUUUGGGGGAAAUGAGAAAUUAGCGAGCUCUAAUGGAUGAUUCGAGGCACGGACUGCUUCACUGGUUGCACAACUACUUAGCAGAGCAGGCGGGGUCGGCAAUUUAUAGGCGCCCAUAGCGGUGGCCGGUGAAUUUGAGGGAGACGCACGACGACCGGAGAAAGAGUGGGGUCACUGGCGCUCGGGAUUAGUGGCUUCACCGUGGCCGCUCACCGGUGAUCACCGGGCAUGCAUAACACGAGCGACUGCGACGUGGUAAUUACCGAGGCACGUGGCGUUCGAUUGGCGGGCGGUCAACUCCGGUGAAUUAUUUGAACCGGCCGCAAAGCAGAAAGGGUGUGCGGCGACCAGCCGGAAUAGUGCCCAUACUCA
rnacentral:lncRNA from 1 species